rnacentral:lncRNA from 1 species
AGGAAGUUGCAGUCAAAAUUGUAACUGUUGCUAUGGCGACCUGUGUAAACAUUCUUUUUAAUGAGAGAACAGGAAGUUGCAGUCAAAAUUGUAACUGUUGCUAUGGCGACCUGUGUAAACAUUCUUUUUAAUGAGAGAAUCAGCUCACAAGUGCAGGCUUCAGUUUGACUUUGGAAGCACAGACAGUAGGAGCUAAGCCAGAGAAGAGGAUAUUAUCUUUCUUUAAAAAUCACAAAGCAACUGAUACGAUGGGUAAGAAGAAGACACGCAAAGGUCGUUACCAAGCUGUGGCCAAGAAGCCUGAGAACAAUUCAUCUGAGGCUCCACCUCCUAAACAUCCAGUCAAGGAUAGCCCUGAGGAACCUGAACUGAACAAAUCCAUGUUCUUUCGUGAAUCAAAGCGUUCACCUAGUGCUGAUGCAAAACCAGAUAAAAGAUUGGAUGGAGUUGCUUCAUCGAAGAAGGUUGUAAGGAACAAAGAGGAACAGGCCAGAAACCCAUCUCCACACCUCCAAUGUCUGGUUGAUGCCACCAAUGAGUCUCAGGAUGUUACCAGCCCCGAAGACCAGGUGGGGCGUAUUGAAGAAUCUGGAACUUCCACCCAGGAGCUCACACAGCUCAGUUCUUCAAUGGCCCCGGUACCAGAAAACCAGAAGAGUCUACAGACCCAAAGGGUGAAACAAAUGGAGGACCAACAGAACCUCUGGAAGACCGAAUUAAUGAAUCACCAACAUAAUAUUGAUUAUCUGCUGGAAGAACAGAAGAAGGACAUGGAUGUCCUCAAAGAGUCUCUGGCCCAGCUCCAUCAAAGCCUGGAGGACCAGCAGAGGCAAGGGCAGAAAGCCUGGGACAGCAUCUUGGAAACACAGGAGGAACACAAGAAUAUUCUCCUCCAGCUUUACACUGAGCUGAUGAACAAGACAGAUGAUCGUCCCAAAAAGAAAUCUUUUUUUCAGCGACUCAUCAAAAAUGUGACAAAGCUCAUCAAAAAUGUGAUAAAGAAGAUUAAAAACCUCUUUUGAUUGGCUACAAGCAGUCACCACUAGAACAUGGGUCACAGGGAGCAACUCUGCAGCUAGGGGGGCAACCAUUGGAAGGUGGACCAUCCUAAAAUAAACAGCAAC